rnacentral:rRNA from 1 species
ACACGACUACAUUAGAUACCCGGGUAGUCCCAGCCCUAAACGAUGCGCGUUAGGUGUAUCGGUGACCACGAGUCACCGAGGUGCCGAAGGGAAACCGUGAAACGUGCCGCCUGGGAAGUACGGUCGCAAGGCUGAAACUUAAAGGAAUUGGCGGGGGAGCGCCACAAGAGGUGGAGGCUGCGGUUCAAUUGGACUCAACGCCGGAAAACUCAUCGGGAGCGACAGCAGUAUGAUUGCCAGGUUGAUGACCUUGCUUGACAAGCUG